rnacentral:rRNA from 1 species
CGCUCCUUGAUUUUAAUUGAUAAGGAGUCGGACCUGCCCAGUGAUAAGUAUUUAACGGCCGCGGUACUCUGACCGUGCAAAGGUAGCAUAAUCAUUUGCCCUAUAAUUGAGGGCUAGUAUGAAUGGUUUGACAAGAACAAUACUGUCUCUUUCAAAANUUUCUAGAAUUUAUUCUUUAGGUGAAGAAACCUAAAUAAAAUUAAAAGACAAGAAGACCCUAUCGAGCUUAAACUCUUUUUAUAAAAUAAAAAAAAUUAAUAAUAUUUUUUGUUAUAAAAAAUUUUGGUUGGGGCGACUAAGGAACAAAAAAAGCUUCUUUAUUUAAUAAAGACAAAUAUGUAUUGAUCCAUAAAANUCUUGAUUAAAAGAAUUAGUUACCGUAGGGAUAACAGCAUAAUCUUUUUUAAGAGUUCUUAUCGAAAAAAAGGUUUGUGACCUCGAUGUUGGACUAAAAUUUCCUAAUAGAUGCAGACGUCUUUAAGGG